ACUAAAUGUAAAAUAUACUCUAGACAUCAAUUAUUGGGAAAUAUAUCCUAUUUCAGAAAAGUGAACGCAUUUUUCAGACGAUAACCAAAGAUAAAUAUGUACAUCCAUAAAGCCAACAGAAAUUCAAGUCUCUUGCAGGAAGAGGUUGCAUUUUUUAAUAUGAUUAAUAAAGUCUUAUUGUGGUAUUGGGAACCUGGCACCUGAGGCACUUAAAAGAAUCUUCUGCGUGUACAGCUUCUCAACUCUAUCAACAGCAAGCCCAGCAGGUCAAGUGUAUGAAGUUUUCUGGGAUUUUUUUCAGUGAUGAAUGAACCAGAGAAGAUGCAAAGAGAAGGAAUCAUUCAACUGGAAAUAGAAAUGAGCUGCAGCAGAGAACACUCCCAGGGAAUGCCAGGAAUGUGUAUGUAAAUCUAGUAAGAAAUUCAACAGGACCCUGA